rnacentral:rRNA from 1 species
AGGACGAACGCUGGCGGCGUGCUUAACACAUGCAAGUCGAACGGUGAUCCGGUGCUUGCACCGGUGAUCAGUGGCGAACGGGUGAGUAACACGUGAGUAACCUGCCCCCGACUCUGGGAUAACCCCGGGAAAUCGGAGCUAAUACCGGAUACGAGACGCACAGGCAUCUGUUGCGUCUGGAAAGAAUUUCGGUCGGGGAUGGACUCGCGGCCUAUCAGCUAGUUGGUGGGGUAAUGGCCCACCAAGGCGACGACGGGUA